CUACGGGACGCAGCAGUGGGAAAUAUUGCACAAUGGGCGCAAGCCUGAUGCAGCCAUGCCGCGUGUAUGAAGAAGGCCUUCGGGUUGUAAAGUACUUUCAGCGGGGAGGAAGGGAGUAAAGUUAAUACCUUUGCUCAUUGACGUUACCCGCAGAAGAAGCACCGGCUAACUCCGUGCCAGCAGCCGCGGUAAUACGGAGGGUGCAAGCGUUAAUCGGAAUUACUGGGCGUAAAGCGCACGCAGGCGGUUUGUUAAGUCAGAUGUGAAAUCCCCGGGCUCAACCUGGGAACUGCAUCUGAUACUGGCAAGCUUGAGUCUCGUAGAGGGGGGUAGAAUUCCAGGUGUAGCGGUGAAAUGCGUAGAGAUCUGGAGGAAUACCGGUGGCGAAGGCGGCCCCCUGGACGAAGACUGACGCUCAGGUGCGAAAGCGUGGGGAGCAAACAGGAUUAGAUACCCCCGUAGUC
rnacentral:rRNA from 1 species